rnacentral:rRNA from 1 species
UACGAAGGGGCUAGCGUUGUUCGGAAUUACUGGGCGUAAAGCGCGUGUAGGCGGGUCUUUAAGUCAGGGGUGAAAUGCCAAGGCUCAACCUUGGAACUGCCUUUGAUACUGGAGAUCUUGAGUCCGGGAGAGGUGAGUGGAAUUGCGAGUGUAGAGGUGAAAUUCGUAGAUAUUCGCAAGAACACCAGUGGCGAAGGCGGCUCACUGGCCCGGAACUGACGCUGAGACGCGAAAGCGUGGGAGCAAACAGGAUUGAG